GGCCGGCGACAGCCUCGCGUGCACUGUCCUGAGCUCCCCCCGCGCGUGUCCGCUCUUAGACUCGUCUACUGACGGGCACUAGGAUGGACGGUUCCGAAACAGAAAAGGGGGUCCUGGCGAGCCGAGCCGGAACAAGGCCAGAACCUCGGCUUCCUGGGCAACAUACAAGUGAGAGCUGCUCUCACCGACCCUGCCCGGGGAACCCCGCGGCCUGGGGAACCCCGCUCUCCCCAUUCUGAUGGUCGCGGGGGGGCGGAGAAGCCCCGCCCCUCGACGUGGGAAACGAGCGUCGGAGGGAAGUCCAGGAGCCGAUGCACGCGCCAGGCAGAUGGUGACGCAGAUACUGGUCCCUUCCUGGAACCCACAGCAGACCAAUGCACCAGGCAGAUGGCGACGCAGAUACCGAUUCCUUCCUGGAACCCGUGAGGGACCUGCCCGCGACGGGAACUCCCACAGCUCAUGCUCCCCGCCCUCACUGAACAGCUGUAUAAAAAAAUGCCUCCACUCCCUCCUGGCGCCACUUCACUGGCCCCGCCCUUGGACCGGUGAACUCGCCUGGGGGUGCAGAUGAAAGCUCCUCCUUUUUGGUUUGCCUGGGUCUCUGACUUGGUCUCCUGCGCCGCGAACCUUACACUCCCCCCGCCUGAGAAGAAGCCAUCAUGUGUGAGAAAUGACGGCCCGGUUUCCCUAAUGGUACGAAGCGGCGGUGUAAUGUCCCGGCCAGGACACCGGGGGCAGCGGCACCACCCACGGAGCUUCCCUCAGGUUACCCGUCCACGUCCGUUUGCAGGUAUGUCUUCAGAUGUGCGCGAACAAUAGACUGUGCACAGCCUCCUGCCAUGUCCUUCCUCCCACAGACACGUUGCCGAGCCUGCCCGUCGCGGUGCAGGCCGUGCCAGCUCACGCGUGUGCGUGGACGUGCCGCCACCUAUCUUUCAUCGUACAGGACGCGAAGGGGGCUGGGUGGGGGCUGGCGGGACCGGCGGCACUACGGUGAGGAGCCUUGCGGUGUCUCCAGGAGCCAUCGCUUGGAGCAUGAGCAGAAGUGGGAUUUCUGGUCACCGGACGCCUGCAUCCGACCCACCGGACGUUAACAGGUUGCCCUUCAGGCUCACCCACUUCCCACUCCUCCUGCAGCGCAGGGCUGUGCGCCUCUCCUGGUCUGUGCCGAAGGGGCCUGUGUCGCUGUUCGGACUUGCGUUUCCCUGGAGUAAGAAGGUUUCCGGCUUCAGCAGAAAAGGAAAGUGCUCACCUGAGUCUCCGGAGGGCUGGCCACCCACUCAGAGUCACCACAGAGUGCAGCGCACGGAGUCCUGCCCCGCGAGCCCAGCUGGCACCAUGGACAGCAGUCCUGCCCCGCCCAGCCCUGCCCGCAGCCCCUGCCACCCUGAGAGAUGCAGGCGCCUCGCCGGCCCGUGACGGGCUCCUGUCCAGGGCGAGCCUGGCUGGUGCAGCCACAUCCCACCUCGUAUGUGGACAGACUUUCUCAGCGGAGGCGGGUCCUCCCACACGGACAGACAGGUUCAGGAGCUGCGUGUGCAAGAAACAAUAACGGAGUCACUCACAGUGCAGGUGAGUGUAUAUGGAUCUCAGAGAGGAAGGGGGCGGGGGAGGGGGAGAGAGAAACAUCCAUGAUGAGAGAGAA